GACGAACGCUGGCGGCGUGCUUAACACAUGCAAGUCGAACGGAAAGGCCCCUUUGGGGGUACUCGAGUGGCGAACGGGUGAGUAACACGUGAGUAACCUGCCCUUGACUUCGGGAUAACUUCAGGAAACUGGGGCUAAUACCGGAUAGGAAUCCUUGCUGCAUGGUGGGGGUUGGAAAGCUUCGGCGGUUUUGGAUGGACUCGCGGCUUAUCAGCUUGUUGGUGGGGUAGUGGCUUACCAAGGCUUUGACGGGUAGCCGGCCUGAGAGGGCGACCGGCCACAUGGGGACUGAGAUAGGGCCCAGACUCCUACGGAGGCAGCAGUGGGGAAUAUUGCACAAUGGGCGGAAGCCUGAUGCAGCAACGCCGCGUGCGGGAUGACGGCCUUCGGGUUGUAAACCGCUUUCAGCAGGGGCGAAGCUUGUGGUGACGGUACCUGCAGAAGAAGCACCGGCUAACUACGUG
rnacentral:rRNA from 1 species